AAAGCAGACUAGUGUGCACUCUCAAGGAGGGUUGUCAGUUUGACUACCAUAAAACUCCAAAAGAUGGGGCCGUUUCAGCCCGACCACUUGGGCUGCUUCCAGGAAAAAAGCACGCAUGUGUCUCUCUGGAGAGAAGUUGCACUACACAAAAUCAGCCUGUCGGAUGACCUGGAAAUCAGCCAUCUCUAUAUUAGAAAAAAACAAAGAAGACAUUCAGUUUAGUUCCACUACCCAUACAGCUAUGAAGGUUCACAGAUAGCGUUAAACUUCAUAUUUCCUAAUGUGACAGACGAGGGCUAAGCAGGACACCCACACUCACGCAGACUUGAGGGAGGAGGGGCCAUACCGGGACAGAGCCCCCCCUCAAGGGCGUGACUCCUGGCGCGUCAGCCUACCGGGCUGCGGCCCCGAGACCAACGCCAAAAGGUUUAACAGCUGGUGAGACACUUGACGGUUUGUGUCUGCCAGUUCCAUUAAAAGUGAGUAGAAAGUUUCUGCAUAACUGGGGUUCCAUUUCUGCAUAACUAGGGUGGUUCUGAAGUUACUGAGAUUGUUCAUUAUAUGAAAAUAUCAGUGUACUUAAACAUGUAAAUGAACAAUACAUAUAUGAAAUUUAAAUGCUUUUGUCAUAUGAGCAUUGUUGUGCACAGACCAAUGGAUCUUGACCUGUACUCAGUGCAAGACAUGUUGGUUAGUCACCUAACUUCAGAAUGCAUAGUCAGUUAACUUCAGAAUGCAGUCUUUUUACAACUGGUCAUAUGUCAUAUUGGAUUCUGUUUAAACACAUGUAAUGCAAGGGAUCCCUAAUGCAUAUGUAUACUCAGGGUAUUUGCUGCUAAUAAAAGGGUAAACACACUAAGAACAUAUUAAUUCAUAACGGAUAAUGCAUAACAUAAUUAUGAAAUUUUGGUCCACAGUCAAGUUCCCCUCUAUGCUGGACUUUAGCCUGAGUAUUAUUGACACUUACCUCUCUAUUUUCACCUGAGCAUCUGUAUUUGAUAGAGACUACAAAGCACUUCUGUAAGUCAUCAAAUGCUGUAAAUGUACACUGAUGUCCACAUUUAUAUUUCUGUAGUUUCAGAUUACCUCACGUCAUCUCAGUGUCAAGAAUUAAAUUUGUGGCUUGGCCUUUUUUUCCAUCUUAAACACUUCAUAAAACUGUCAUGACUUUUUACCAUCUAAAUGUACAUGUGCAGGGAUAAUGCAAAACCUUCAGUAUUCAGCCACCAGAGCAACUGUGGCCAGUCUGAAUGUAAGAUGAAUUAAAUGAAGUAAUUUGACUCAAGCAUUUCUGUGAAGAAUUUUGGCUCUUAUACAAUGAUGACGUAAUGUGGGGAAAUUAUUUGGCUCUUACACAGUGACAUUAGAAAAAAGACAAAUGACAAGUAUAGAAACACUGGCGGUAACUGCUAACUAUCA